CGAUUGAGUUUGAUCCUGGCUCAGGAUGAACGCUGGCGGCGUGCUUAACACAUGCAAGUCGAACGGAGAUAUCAUUUUCGAAGCGAUUAGUUUACUAAGAGUGGAGAUGUUGGUAUCUUAGUGGCGGACGGGUGAGUAACGCGUGGGUAACCUGCCUUACACUGGGGGAUAACAAUUAGAAAUGACUGCUAAUACCGCAUAAGCGCACAGUACUGCAUGGUACAGUGUGAAAAACUCCGGUGGUAUAAGAUGGACCCGCGUCUGAUUAGCCAGUUGGCGGGGUAACGGCCCACCAAAGCGACGAUCAGUAGCCGACCUGAGAGGGUGACCGGCCACAUUGGGACUGAGACACGGCCCAAACUCCUACGGGAGGCAGCAGUGGGGAAUAUUGGACAAUGGGGGGAACCCUGAUCCAGCGACGCCGCGUGAGUGAAGAAGUAUUUCGGUAUGUAAAGCUCUAUCAGCAGGGAAGAAAGAAAUGACGGUACCUGACUAAGAAGCCCCGGCUAACUACGCGCCAGCAGCCGCGGUAAUACGUAGGGGGGCAAGCGUUAUCCGGAUUUACUGGGUGUAAAGGGAGCGUAAGCGGCCUGCCAAGUCUGAUGUAGAAAUACGGGGCCUCACCCCGGGGCUGCAUUGGAAACUGGCAG
rnacentral:rRNA from 1 species